rnacentral:rRNA from 1 species
UACGUAGGGUGCGAGCGUUAAUCGGAAUUACUGGGCGUAAAGUGUGCGCAGGCGGCCGCGCAAGUCGAGUGUGAAAGCCCCGGGCUUAACUUGGGAAUUGCGCUCGAAACUACGUGGCUGGAGUGUGGCAGAGGAAGGUGGAAUUCCACGUGUAGCGGUGAAAUGCGUAGAGAUGUGGAGGAACACCAAUGGCGAAGGCAGCCUUCUGGGCCAACACUGACGCUGAGACACGAAAGCCAGGGGAGCGAACGGG